rnacentral:lncRNA from 1 species
UUUAUAGGAGGACUUGGACUUCUCUUGAAUUAUUACUUCACGAAGUUUAGUGGCUUAUAGGUGUAUUUCCCAUAAAUUUAGGGGCCUACUUUAAUAAUAGUAAAACUUUUGUGACUAGUGUUUCUUUAAAUGUAAGUUUGAUGAAAUACUUUACAAUUUUGGAAUUAUCCAGAUUUUGUCCCAUAUAUUAAAGACAAAACAUACUUAAGAAGCAAAUUCUCUAUAUGCCACUAGAAUUUAUAGUAUUCCCAUGUUUGGCAUCUAAAUUCUUGAGUUCCCCUAUGUGCCACUGGAUAAAAUUUUGCAUCCUUUUUAGCGCCAUUCCAUUGAUUUUUCACUAUUACAGGCUAAUGGUGUUGUCACAUUUUGUUUGUAAUGCCGUAUUUGCCAUUCCUUUUGCUGAUGCGAUGGGCCCACAUGCAACCCAAAACCCCAUCCACAUGACUCAACCAAUCCC